ensembl:rRNA 5S_rRNA 5S ribosomal RNA
AUUUAUAGCCACACUGUCCUGAAUGCACCCGACCUCAGAAGCUAAGCAGGGUUGGGCUUGGUUAGUAGUACUUCAAUGGGAGAAAAGAAAAUUACAGACC